rnacentral:rRNA from 1 species
GACUUGUGUGCUUCACUGCUUAGCGGUCUGCAGUCAAAAGGCUGUUACGACACGCGGUAGUGGGGCCGUAAAAUCUUCAACUGGAUCGUGCACAGUCUUAAUUGCCUGGGCAUGAAUCAAUUCGGUUGAUCGUUUACUGUGAGAAAAUUAGAGUGUUCAAGGCAGGCAUAAUUGCAAUUGAAUAUAUUAGCAUGGAAUAAUAAGAUAGGGCUCCGGCUCAUAUUUUGUUGGUUUCUAGAGCGUGGGAGUAAUGAUUGAUAGGGACAGUUGGGGGUGCUAGUAUUCAGCGGCCAGAGGUGAAAUUCAUGGAUUCGCUGAAGACUGACUUAUGCGAAAGCAUU